UCAAGUGGCUGAACCCCAUCCUCAGGCUACUGUUUUAUCAGUUCACAAUUUAGACACCAUCAGGGAUGUUAUCAAUAUGGCAUUGCCAGAGCUAGGAUUAAUUGGCUCAGAAAGAGAUUACCAGCUGUGGGUCCGUUAUGGCAAGACCGAGGCCCCAUUUCCACUAAUGGGCCAUGAAAAUCCGUAUGCAAUUCAAGCACACUACCAGCAAGCUUCACUCCAUCAGCAAGCUCUGUGCAAGCCCACGUCUCCCUGCAGCCUUCUGGAGUCCAUCCCAGAGAUUUUAGCAGAUGGAAAAUUGCAAUUUAUCCUUAAAUGCCGAAACAAGACAAGACCCCAGUUUGGAGGCGGAUUUUUAAGAAAUUGCAUGUCUUGCUGGGGUGCCACAGCCAGCAAAAAUGACCUGUCCCAGGACACUGAUUGUUAUGCACAGCCUAGCGGGCUGGAAUUGGAUGACCUUACAGCAGUCACUUUGGAGAUGCUUCACUUUUUAAGGCAAAAAGGGCCAUCGACAAAGGGUAUUUUUCAAAACAUUGACAACAUAAAAUCAUUUAUAUGUCUAAAGGAAAAAAUUGUUUGGAUAUACAUUAAAUUGUGAGAAUGAGUCUCCACUUGUCGUGGCAGCCGCAUUCAAGGAUUGUCUUUGAAUAAUCCCUGGUACUCUUUUUACAAUGGAACUCUAUGAUAAAUGGCUUUGUGUUCUUGAUGAGGAUGAGGAGAAAGUUACAGAAAUCAAAAGGCUCUUAUAAAACUUGCCCGUAUGUAAUUUGGAUAUCCUCAGACAGUUAUUUUUGUGUUUGUGUGAGAUCUCUAAAAAAAAUCCUUCAACCUCAUGAGUGCACGAAAGUUAGCUUUUUGCAUCACAACAAGUAUAUCUUCGCUCUGGACAUUUACAUCAAAUUUGGAAAGUGAAUUAAUUAAAAAGGUAUCUAUCGUAGAGUUUUUCAUUGAAAACUACCCACAGAUCUUUGAAGAAUAUAAUGAUUUGCUGCUUAGAAAGAGUUGGGAAAAUUCCAGCACCAGCUUUGGGAGCAGCACCGAAUACGAUA